GUGAGGGGCGGGGUCUCGGUUGCCGUCGUAAUAAGCCCCGCCCCAUCGGGAGGCGGGAGUUGCCAUGGCAAGGCCCUCCUUCCCCCCCCCAGCCUUAGCGGCUUUCCCUGGGAAUCCCCCGGAAUUCCCGACCCACUACUUCCAAGGGCCACGGACCUUAGAGGCCGAACCGGCGCUCUCGGGACACGCACCCAGGGUUCCCACACGGAUUUACCCCGUCACAGAGGCCCGCGGCGCAGCGAUGGGCUGGGCAGGCCGGGGGCCGAGUGCGGAGCAGAUCCAGAUGCUGUGACCAGAGAGACACCCAAGAAUUGCCCUGAUCACCAGCACAGGCAGGGGGUGUCCCUGUCACAACCGGCUGUCCCCGAACCGACAGCGUGUCCUGGGGGCCACAAGGGCCCGUGGGACCCUGGGGGACACCGGGAAGAGCACUGCCAGCAGGUCAGAGAGUGUCCCUCCGUCCAGCCCUGUGAGGUACAUCUGCAGUGCUGUGUCCACUCUCGGCGCUUCAGGAAAGGAGACGUGUGGAACUGCUGGAGCAGUUUCGGCCCAGCAGUAAUGUGGCUGCUUUGCUGCUGAACACCUUGCCAGUAACACUUCUCAACUCAGUGCAAACCACAGAAAGCCGAGAUUUCCCUAGAAUCCUAAUAAUUUUAUACCUCACUGCCAUGGAAACAGGUACAUCUGUUCCCUCUCAUUCCCUCCCUGGCUCCCAUCCCCACACCAGCUCUUGUGCUCAGGGAAGCAACCAAGCCUGUAAAGUAUCUGAGGUUUUGGCACUUGUUUUGAUUCUCCUGGCAGCUGGAUGAGCUGAACUUACUUGUUUACAAACAUGACAAAUGAAUCACCAGGGCUGAAGGCAGAUGAGCAGCAGUGAACUGUUACACCAGCCCAGACAUCCCAAAUACAGACUCCUGCUUCACCAACACCAGCAAAACAAAGCAGAUUUCACCUGCUUCAAAGCUCACAGACCACAGGGUCACAAACAAGCUGUUGGUACAACCAAAAUCCACUCAGCAGUGCCAAAAUCCACCCUCUAACAAUGAAGAUCUAAAAGAAUAAGCCAAAUUAUGCCUGGUGAGGAUUAUUGUGCCAUGGAUAUGGUGAGGAAUUGGAUCAUCUGGGGGUCCUGAGGGCAUGCAGCAGCCCACCUCAGGGCUGCUGCUAUAGGUGACAGGUUUUGUACAUUUUGCAGUUAAGUUUGGGUUUUAUCCAACGAUCAAUUUUUAGUCCUGUUUUAUUUUUGCAUUCUGCUUUGAAAAUGCGGUUUGUUUUUUACAGGCUAACCCUGACUGGAAAGGCUGAGUGUCACCAGCAUGGAAACAGUAGCUCUGCCUUAAAAACAACCUUUUAAUUGAGUGUUUUUGACAUCAUGGUAAAACAGAAAAUAAUCCCAACUGCAGUAAAGACCCAUAUUGAAGGAAGACUUCCAGAACAAUGGCUGAGGCAGCAGGAGAAAAAUCAAACUGAUUUACCACUGUUGUUAACUUUCUCAAAAAACAUCUCUGAACAGAACAUUUAUUUAUUUAUGAGAAGCCCACCAAUGAUAAAGUUGUGCAGGCUUUGGGGAAAAAAAACAACCUGACAAUCCAUAUUGUUGGCUCUGUGCUGGUUCUGCUUUCCAUAAAAUUUGGUUUUUUGAAACUUUAACCAUCAGAAGAUGCUGCUGAAGAAACAAGUCUGUUAGGAAUGUCCCAGAACAGUCAUCAAUCGGGUUCAAAAAAAGGACAAAACUCAAACAUUUGCUGACUUUGAUGACUAGCACACACCCUUCAGCACUGCAGCUGGCACUUGGCUCAAUUUCAAACACAGACAGUGGAAAAGUAGCUCCCAAGAAGCAAAGAAAAGCCAAAAUAAGGCUCAAUAAAAAAAACAGAUAAAACAAUUCACAAGAAAACUUCCUCUGUAUAGUAGGAUCUAGUUGCCUCUUCCCCAGCCCAAACACCUCCACAUCUAAAAUACUAUUUUUUUUUUAAAGUUAUUUUAGUUUUAAACCCAACAGGAACAGUAUUUAGUAGUGCCUCUAAAAAUGGAGGGUAACAGUUACAGCCAGGCAGGGCAGAUAUGUGAAUCUCUAAUUACAGUUAUGUCAUUACUGACAACUCCAAUUGUCAGUUGCUUCUUUCUCUUUUAACUUUCUCCAUCAUAUCUGGCUUCUGGACCAUUGUUUUAAUCACAUAAACCAGUGUGAGUAUGAAAAUUAAACAGCAUUAAAUACAGUAACCCUAUUGUACAAGAAUAAAGUUGCAGAACAUUAACAAUGAGAAAACAAAAGUAUCUUGUUCUUAACAGCAGGGAAAAUGGGAUCUGCAGGAGGGAUCUCUGUGAAUAGAGGUGAAUGGGAGCCCACAGCCUGGGCAUCCAUAGAAGAUCCUUGGCUUUGGCACUGGAGAAUGACUUGUUUCUCUUUUCUUUGUCCAAGGGAGGGGUUAGCAUAUGAGAGGGAAAGAG